ACGUAUGCAGUAGCUUUAAAAUGGCAAGAUAAUUAUUGCGGUUCCAUCUGUACAUAUAAUAUAUAAAAAUGAAUUGCUGUUCGUUAGUCUCGCUAAAACUCGAGAACGGCUGAACCGAUUUGGCUAAUUAUGGUCUUGAAUUAUUUGUGGAAGUCCAGAAAAGGCUUAAAAGGAGAACGAUCAGCGAAUGGCCAUGACUGCAGUAUUAGCCAUAUGGUACUUUUGUAUAACAGAGUUUAAGUGUUGAAACGCGUGCUAUAUAAGGCAUAGCAUAAUGAUAUCAACUAUGACCUUGCAAGAAUUGAGACGUGGGAUGAAGUACUCAUAAAAAAUAGUUUAAAGCAAUAUAUUGUUUAAUUGUACAUACUCAGAGUGGUUCUUAACUUAAAUUAAAAUACAUUAGAAUUAUUACAAAAGAAUACA